AACCUGGUUGAUCCUGCCAGUAGUCAUAUGCUUGCUUCAAGGAUUAAGCCAUGCAAGUGUCGAGUAAAUAACUGCACAGUUGAUCUGCGUACAGCUCAUUACAGUCGUAAUCUACCUGCAUGAAUGACUCUGUCAUCGAGUGGAUAACUUCAGUAACUUCGAAACUAAUACAUGGACGAGAAAUCGAGUAGCCGUUCAGCACAAGGAGUAACAUCCGAGUGUGGCUCCACGAUGCUUUUGGUCGUAAUAGAAACUGGUCAAUCAGAUUGAAUCUAUUGUGGCAUCAGACCAUUCUGUACAAGGAAACCGUUGCUUGCAACAUUCCGUGUGCGGUUGAGCGACUGACCUAUCAGCUUGUUUGCAAUGUAUUGGACUGCAGAGGCUUUGACGGGUAACGGAGAAUCAGGGUUCGAUUCCGGAGAGGGAGCCUGUGAAACGGCUGCCAUGUCUAAGGACAGCAGCAGGCGCGCAAAUUGCCCAAUACUAGCAUGAGCGAGGCAGCGACGAGAAGUAUUUACCUUGUGCUACAUUGUAUCACGAGGACAGAAAUUGGUGAUAUCCAAAACCAUCCCUGAGGAUCGACUGGAGGGCAAGUCUGGUGCCAGCAGCCGCGGUAAUUCCAGCUCCAAUAGCGUAUACUAAUGCUGUUGCUGUUAAAAAGCUCGUAGUUCGAUAAGGAUUGAUUCUGGUUCAGAUUCAGUGCUUCGCAGCUUUGCUGCAAUGGAGAAUUGGACCUGAGAAUAUCGUGCCAUAGUCAGUUCCUACGGGUUCUGCUGUGGUACUAAGCUCUAGUUUACCGGUAUUAACAGGGAUGAACGGAGCAGUGUGUACUGGCUCGCGAGAGGUGAAAUUCUUAGACCGUGCCAGACAAACGUAAGCGAAGGCAUUCUGCAAGUAUAUCUUCAGUAAUCAAGAACGAGAGUGCAGGGAUCGAAGAUGAUCAGCUACCGUCGUAGUCUGCUACCGUAAACGAUGCGAACUUGGGAUCAGCCGUCGCCAAUCUUUUUCGAUUACCAGGCUGGAACCUACUUACUUCUCCUAGCGCGAAAGCUUUAAGUUUAUGCGUUCAGGGGAGAGUACAGUUGCAAGGCUGAAACUUAAAGGAAUUGACGGAAUGACACCACAAGGCGUGGAUGCUGCGGCUUAAUUUGACUCAACACGGGGAAUCUCACCAGGUCAGGACGCAUGUUGGAUUGACAGAUUGAAAGCUCUUUCUUGAUUAUGUGUAUGGUGGUGCAUGGCCGCUCCUGGUUGGUGGAGUGAUUUGUCUGGUUGAUUCCGUUAACGAACGAGAUCUUGGCCCUUCAAUGACAGUUUGAUCGUAUCUGUAAUCCAGUCGACGCGCUUGCGUGCUCGCACUGGACGAGAUCUUGUCUUGUACCCAAGGGGACGAUGCGUGUUGACAAUGCAUGGAAGUGCGAGCCAAUAGCAGGUCUGUGAUGCUCCUAGAUGUCCUGGGCUGCACGCGGCAUACAAUGGUGAAGAAAACGAGUUUGGUUUGUUUGAGCUCCUUGUGCGAAAUCAUUGGGGAAUCUGUGGACACUUCAUCGUAUUGGGGAUCGUUGCUUGCAAUUAUUUGCCUUGAACCAGGAAUGCCUUGUAGACACAACUAGCAAAUUGUAUCGAAUACGUCCCUGCCGUUUGUACACACCGCCCGUCGUUGCAAUCGAUCGGUUCAAUGCUAGAGGUCUUCCAGAGGUGAGUUCGAUCCUGUAUUGUCUUUGCCAAAGUUGAUCAAUAGCAUUGAACUAGAGAAUGCAAAAGUCGUAACAAGGUUGCUGUAGGUGAACCUGCAGAAGGAUCAA
rnacentral:ncRNA from 15 species